rnacentral:rRNA from 1 species
UACGUAGGUGACAAGCGUUGUCCGGAUUUACUGGGCGUAAAGAGCGCGCAGGCGGUCGUUCAGUCGAGUGUGAAAGCCCCCGGCUCAACUGGGGAGGGUCACUCGAUACUGAUCGACUCGAAGGCAGGAGAGGGUAGUGGAAUUCCCGGUGUAGUGGUGAAAUGCGUAGAUAUCGAGAGGAACACCUGCGGCGAAGGCGGGUUGCUGGGCUGACACUGACGCUGAUGCGCGAAAGCCAGGGGAGCGAACGGG